UCCCGUGACAAUAGGUAUCUUCGUUACCCAUUAAUACCUAGCUAGCCAGGCCGGCUCGGCCGACGUCGGCGCUCACCGGCGGAAUCAAUCAUUGGUGAUCUCCGGUGGAUUUAAUCCACAAGAUACAUCAGCGUGCAGCUCAUCUUAUGGCCAUCGAAGCACAUCCUACUGAGAGCACCUCAACCGGCUGAUGGAUCAGAGAGCACGACACAACCGGACUUGAGGUUGAUUGGAAUCUGGGGUCAACGAUCUGUUCUUGAACUUUUUGUGCAUGCCCGGCUAGAUCUGCAACAUAUUUCUAUCCAUUGAUCAUAAUCCUCUUGCUUUGCUUCCAGAUCUGAAAUAAGAAUAUACGGUCCCUUUGAGGAGAUGGGUCUCAUCGUUUGCUGAUGUUAAUUCUGUGAACGGAAGAAUAUUUGUGUGGUCUAUGGUUGUCACUGGAGGCAUGCGGCUUAGGGCGUCUAGAACGGAAGAAUCAAUUCAGUGGCUUCUGGUGGUCAGUUGAGGGUGGCAACAUCAUGCGUGGUGUGCCUGUCGAUCUCCAACGUAUUCUCACGGUCAUAUGGCCAGCGGCACCCAGCUAGCCGUAAACUGAUUACUGGUAUACUUCUUAAUUACUUCUGCUAGUGGAUAAAUGAUCAAAUGUACCCAGCUGUUGUUUCGUCUUGGGAAAUUGGUAUACCCAGCAAAAGGAACAGUAGCUCCGGUUGCUAAUUUACUGUGUAGAAACUACUAAUUUUAUUAAAGCUAGAGGAUCCUACCUGUUUAGUUGUCGAAGAGUACACUACCUUGCUCCCUUUAUGUUAGUAUCAGUUUACUCAACUUGCUGCUUUAAUUUUCUAUUUGUAAAAGGGCAUAUGCACUUCCCUCUUCAACGAGUGCUUCAUUUUGCUUUGCAGAAGCCUUAUGUGCUUGAUGCUAUAUAAAAAGAAUUUAAUACCCCCAA